rnacentral:rRNA from 1 species
UAGUCCACGCCGUAAACGAUGAGCACUAGAUUUUGGGGGUAUUGACCCCUUCAGAAUCGCAGCCAACGCAUUAAGUGCUCCGCCUGGGGAGUACGGCCGCAAGGCUAAAACUCAAAGGAAUUGACGGGGGCCCGCACAAGCGGUGGAUUAUGUGGUUUAAUUCGAAGCAACGCGUAAAACCUUACCUGGGCUUGAACUCCUGAGAACACGAAGUAAUUUUUGUGGUGCCCUUCGGGGAAUUCAGUGAGAGGUGCUGCAUGGCUGUCGUCAGCUCGUGUUGUGAAAUGUUGGGUUAAGUCUCGCAACGAGCGCAACCCCUAUCUUUAGUUGCCAGCAUUUAGUUGGGCACUCUAGAGAGACUGCCUGGGUUAACCAGGAGGAAGGUGGGGAUGACGUCAAGUCCUCAUGGCCCUUAUGUCCUGGGCUACACACGUGCUACAAUGGUCGUGACAAAGAGUUGCUAGUCUGCGAAGGCAAGCCAAUCUCAUAAACGCGGCCUUAGUUCGGAUUGCAGG